GGUAUGAAAAUCUUUUUAAAGCUAAAUAAGCCUCCUGCCAGUUUUAAAACUCAGGAAUGUUUCCUUGGGAUGUGGAAACCAUCUGUUUGAAAUGUAAUCAUUUAGGGAAGAGAGGGCCCUUACCCGCUAGCUCCCUGGGCAGGUUGGACCUUAACUUCAGCUGGUACCUGGCUUCAAGUAGCAAACCUCUUCAGGUCCUAGAGUCGUAAUAAAAUUAUUGUUCUUGCAAAGGCAUUGGCAACAGAGGUGGCCACGCCACUUACCAAGUAACUUUACAGUAAACAAAGGAAACCCAAGACCAAACCAGACGGAAGAUAAACCUUUCACUUGGUGUGGCUCCUUGGAACACACUUCUCCUUGCUUGAUGGGACGUUGGCUAAACCAUGAACUGUUGAAUAGAGCCAGUUCGAUCUUCAGAUUUGCUCAAUGGAUUUUGUUUUUUAACAAGAGAGAGACUAACAGACAACAGUUGGUAAAGUGUGAACAAUACUCCUUCAGGAGAAGAUAAGCCUGGCUGUACCUUAAAAAAAAAAAAAAAAACAAACGAGACAAAAGCCUUUCUUCUCUGACCUGUGAGCCUCGUGAACCGUGACACACACGGUGGGCGUGAGCUUUUCUUUUGGGGGCCAGAAUCAGAAGUCCCUGCAGAGCUGCCCGCCACUCAGCAGCUGACUGCCCGCAUCCUCGCAGGCCCGCCUCCCCCCGUCUCCAUCUCUGCUGUGGAGGCUGAUCUUCCCUCACUUGUGUCUCUUCUCCAGCUCCCAGGUUGGAGACCUCGCUGGCUGAGGCCCGUGACUUCCUCUUCUCUGAGAGUCACUUCUUUCAUCUGCUGACGGGAGUGGUGUGGGCACGUCGCAUCCUGGAGGCACCGAACUCUGAAGGCGAGAAGAGGCCGAUCGCCGUAUAAUCUAUUCAAUUUCAAUUUCAAAAGAUGCUGCUGCUGAUCAAAGGAUACCCGGGGCUCAGUGGUAAGAAAAAAUCCGCCUGCCCACGCGGCAGACC
ensembl:lncRNA